CAGGCGCACUAAGAGAAAAACAACAAGAAAAGGGAUAUGACAAUUAUAGGAAAUCCCCUCCCUAGAGUUAAGGAAGAGUAGGAAGUGGGCAUAAAAGAACAAAGGCUAUUUUAAUCCAGGGCUGACACCACUUGAGAAUCAGCCCGUUCCUCUCUCUGGAACAUUCUUUGCUUAAUAAAUUUUGUGGAGUGGUUAUUUGUGAGUCUCAUCCAAUUCUUUGUUCACAACACCAAGAACCUGGAACUCCCAACUUCCAAUCUGGUAACAUAUUUUGGUGAGCCAGCCAGGAGGAUAACCUGAUUGGAGAAUGGAACAGAUAAGUCCCACCGGGUACAAGAUCAGUCCCUGCAACAGUGAGGCUUUCAAACCUGCAAUACCUAAAGCUCCAGACCUAGAACAUGAAGCUCCCAUCAAUCGCUACCCUGUGAACCUGUGGAGGAUCCGAAGUACCUGUUUAAAGGGCAUCCAAAAGAUAAGUAAAUUCCUACUGACUUUGCUGGUGUCUGUGUUGCAUAGUUACUAUGGGAUAAGUAAUCCUAGUUAUUUAUAUAUAUUUGUCAUUUAACUGCUUGCUUCCCCCACAAGGGAACCAUUUUUUAUGUCCAUAAUCCUAUUUUCACCAAUAUUGGGGGUCCAACCUCAAUACCAAGUGUUUAAACAGAUUCAACGGUUAGUCGCACUAACUUAACUUCCUGUUACAUUUGUACCUCAGGCUCACUAUCAGCUGAAGUUUUACCAUUACCACUAGAAGAGAUAGUCAAGGUCAAUGCAAGAGUCACUGUUGCUACCCAGUCAGAAGCUACAUAUCCCAGUCCAGCUGUGGAAAGCUUAUUCCUAACAGUCUUAUCUCAGAUCAUAAGAAACAACCCAAAUUUAAAUUUUACAAAUGCCCCAAAUCAUGUAAGGGUUUUUCACAACCUGACUUCAGAGAGCCAAUUCCCAAUUUGUUUCACUUCCCACCGAACGAAUGGGACCUUUCUGGGAUCCCUAAACAAUUGUUUAUAUGAGGUUGUCCUCAGUUGGACAAAUCAAGAGAAACAUUACAAUUCCUCAGAAACAAAAAUCAAUUCAUAUUGCAAACUAGGAAAACAAAACCAAUUCCUCCUCAAGUAUCCUGAUCCAAGGUGACCUCAAUAUACAAGUAAUACCAAUACUUCCAGUAUUUCCACUGGUUGGACCACAGUGUUAAUCAACAAUUCAUCUUUGCCUCCAGCUCAAGCUUUGGCUUGGGGGGGUCCAAAGAUCAUUCGUAAAAUUCUACCCCAGCUUAUCUUUCCACUCUAGGCUUAAUGAACAACUUGCUGUGGCUGGAACACUUUUAUGGGAACAACUCACUGGAACUUCCUCUAGUGGCUCAGACACACCUUUGGAACUAGCAUCAUGGGGAUAUGAAGUAUCUUUGGACCCUGGGCAAGGGUUGUAUUUCGUAUGUGGAAAUUCAGGGUACAUGAGUCUUCCGAGUCAAUGGAAAGGGACUUGCGGCAUCGCUGCUUUACUUCCAAGACUGUUUUAUGCAAAUGCUAGUAUAUAUAAGACACAGCCAUGCAUUUGUAAAAAGGGCAGCUCCAGUGGUAUUACAUCCUUCAGCAACUGCAAUAACAGGACUUUUAGGAACCACACUUGGGCCCAUUUCUCUUCAGUUGUCUUCACAACAAACAGGCUUUGGCAGAAAUUACAGCAGCUAUCCAAGAACAACGACAUAUAGAUUCCCUGGCAGGCAUUGUCUUACAAAACAGGAGGGGGCUAGAUCUCCUCGCAGCUAAUCGGAAGGGAUUAUGCGUUUUUCAAAAAGAAGAAUGUUGUUUCUAUAUUAACUCCUCAGGCAAGAUACUGGGACAUCUGACUAAGGCAAUUAAUGUAACCAAUUUAAGACCUGCACAAAACACCCUAAAUUCUGUUUAAAUAACUGCAAAAAGUUGGAUAGCCCCUUUUAUAGGACCCUUAACUGUAAUUCUUCUGUUGUUCAUUUUUGGCCCUUACACUGUAAAUUUGCUAACCAGAUUUAUUUCUUCCUGUUUAGAGUCUAUCAAGCUACAAAUGGCUAUAUUGCCUGAAGCCCCAGACAUCAUCAUACAAGAAAUAAGUCCACACUUCAUAAUUUCCCCCUGGAUAGAGCAGGGUGAGAGUUCUGUGGUCCCCCGUUAGGUAGGGUCAACAGUCCCACUCAGCCGGAAGCAGCUAUAGAAGAAAGAACUUCAAUCCUCAGCAAGCUAUAGAGAUUUAUGGGGAUCACAUCUCUCAGAGGGAACUGAGGCAGGAGAAUAGGGAAGGAAGUCAGAAAAUCAACCAGCAGCCCGUUCUCAGCAAAACAAGCAUAAGGCACCAUCUGAUAAGGAAGCUGAAGCAAUGAACCAGUGCUUUCUGCAGUAAACAAAUCUGGUAUAAAAUGAAACAGGAAAGUCACUGAAAGAAGAGCAUGCGCAUUAGGGGCAAAAUGUGUCCUCAGGAUAACCUUUUAUUAUAAUAAGUUACUUAAAGCCCAUACAUAUGGAGUGCAUAUCAUACAUACGCUUAAAAUUAUGGAAUGGCAAGCACACACAGGCACACUGAGAGAGAAAAACAAGAAAACUGAUAUGUCAGUUAUAGGCAACCUCCUCCCUAAAAGUUAAACAAGAGUAGUAAGGGGGUAUAAAAGAACAAAGGCUGUGUUAACCCAGGGCUGAUACCACUCGCAGAUCAGCCUGUUCCUCUCUCUGGAACAUUUUUUGCUGAAUAAAUCUUGUGGUGUCAUUA